rnacentral:SRP_RNA from 1 species
GCCGGGCGUGGUGGCGGGUGCCUGUAAUCCCAGCUACUUGGGAGGCUGAGGCAGGAGAAUCACUUGAACCUGGGAGGUGGAGGUUGCAGUAAGCCCAGACUGAGCCACUGCACUUCAGCCUGGGUGACAGAGUGAGACUCUGUCUCAA